GAGCCUAUGAGGAUUGUUAUUUUAGUUGGAAUUACCGACUGAAUUUUAUUGAUGUCAAAUAACUGGCUUUCUGAGGCUUAAA